rnacentral:rRNA from 1 species
AACGAACGCUGGCGGCGUGGAUUAGGCAUGCAAGUCGAACGCGAAAGAGGGAGCAAUCCCUCGAGUAGAGUGGCGAACGGGUGAGUAACGCGUGAAGAACCUGCCUUCAACAGGGGGAUAACACUCCCAACGGGGUGCUAAUACCGCAUGAGACCACGGGAUCGCAUGGUCCUGAGGUCAAAGGUGGCCUCUAUUUAUAAGCUACCGGUUGAAGAUGGCUUCGCGUCCCAUUAGCUAGUUGGCGGUGUAAAAGACCACCAAGGCGACGAUGGGUAGCUGGUCUGAGGGGAUGGUCAGCCACACUGGGACUGAGAUACGGCCCAGACUCCUACGGAGGCAGCAGUCGAGAGGCUUUGGCAAUCGGGGAAACCCUGACCAAGCGACGCCGCGUGGAGGAUGAA